UACUAGCAGGUGUUUUCCCCCCU
rnacentral:piRNA from 1 species